rnacentral:rRNA from 1 species
AAAAACAAUUAUUUUAAAUUAAAUUUAAAUAAUUAAACAACUUUACAUAUAUAUAUAUAUAAUAUUCACCUGUUUAUCAAAAACAUGUCUUUUAGAAUAUAAUUUAAAGUCUGAUCUGCUCAAUGAUAAUAUUAAAUAGCUGCGGUAAAUUGACCGUACAAAGGUAGCAUAAUCAAUAGUUUUUUAAUUGAAAGCUGGAAUGAAUGAUUUGAUGAAAUAUAAACUGUCUCAAAUUUAUUAAUUAGAAUUUUUUUUUUAGUUAAAAAACUAAAUUGAUUUAAAAAGACGAGAAGACCCUAUAGAUUUUUAUAAAAUAUUUUUUAUAAAUAAAUAAAUUAUUUUAUUUUAUUUGAUUUAUUUUAUUUAAUUGGGGUGAUUUUUAAAUUUAUUUAACUUUAAAUUUUUUAAACAAUAAUUUUUGAUUAUUUGAUUUUUUUAUAAAAAUUAAAAGAUUAAAAUACCUUAGGGAUAACAGCGUAAUUUUUUUGGAGAGAUCUUAUUGAUAAAAAAGUUUGCGACCUCGAUGUUGAAUUAAGGUUAAAAUUAAUUGUAGAAAUUUAAUAAUUUUAGUCUGUUCGACUAUUAAAACCUUACAUGAUUUGAGUUCAGAUCGGCGUGAGCCAGAUCGGUUUCUAUCUUUUAAUAAUAAAUAAUUUUUUUGUACGAAAGGACUAAUUAUUAUAAAUAAUUUUUUAAUUGGAAUAAAUUUAAACUUAA